rnacentral:rRNA from 1 species
UACGGGGGGGCGAAGCGUUGUUCGGAAUUACUGGCGUAAAGGGCUCGUAGGCGGCCAACUAAGUCAGACGUGAAAUCCCGUCGGCUUAAACCCGGGGAACUGCGUCGUGAUACUGGAUGGCUUGAGUGUGGGAGAGGGAGUGCGGAAUUCCAAGGUGGUAGCGGUGAAAUGCGUAGAUAAUCUGGAGGAACACCGGUGGCGAAGG